UACGUAGGGUGCGAGCGUUGUCCGGAAUUAUUGGGCGUAAAGAGCUCGUAGGCGGCUUGUUGCGUCGGAUGUGAAAGCCCGGGGCUUAACCCCGGGUCUGCAUUCGAUACGGGCAGGCUGGAGUUCGGUAGGGGAGAUCGGAAUUCCUGGUGUAGCGGUGAAAUGACGCAGAUAUCAGGAGGAACACCGGUGGCGAAGGCGGAUCUCUGGGCCGAUACUGACGCUGAGGAGCGAAAGCGUGGGGAGCGAACAGG
rnacentral:rRNA from 1 species